AAGACCGCACUUUGGAACAUCCGGAUGUUGGACAACGCUCUUCUGAUUAUAUAUAUAUAUAUAUAUUUCAGUUCAUUCGAUUCAUGGAAGCGGUUGUGUUAUCCAGCGCCUGAAAAGUUUUCUCUUUCCCCUCCCCAAUACGAAGAGGCUUCGUUCAUCUUCCAUCUUCCAUCUUCCAUCUUCCGAGCUUCUCUAAAAUUUUCUGGUUUUUUUAGGGAAUCAGAAAGACCGGUGGAAAGGUUUCUUGAGUGGAGAUGAUGCGAAGGCGUCUAUCGAAGCUCCUUUGGCAGAGUUUGGGAUCCCAGCGUUCUAAUUAUUCGGUGGAGGCUUUAAGGUUUAACUUAGAUGGUGUGACCAACUGUCCUUUCAAAAGCAGAAAUAAUGAUAUUCGGAGUACUAACUGUGAUGGACCAGGCUGCCCAAAGGUAAUGAGAUAUGCAACUUCAUGCGCCACAUGGUCAGAAUUAUCACAAGAAGCUCACCCUGCUUCUGAUAUGUUAGUUGAUUCAUUUGGGAGGUUCCAUAAUUAUUUGAGAAUUUCUCUAACAGAGCGCUGCAAUCUUAGAUGCCAAUAUUGCAUGCCUGUAGAAGGCGUUGAGUUAACACCAAAUUCUCAUUUAUUAAGUUCUGAUGAAAUAAUUCGAUUAGCCAAUCUUUUUGUCAAUUCUGGAGUAGAUAAGAUCCGCUUAACAGGGGGAGAGCCAACUAUUAGGAAAGACAUUGAAGAAAUAUGCCUCCAACUUUCUCGCUUGAAAGGAUUGAAAACACUAGCGAUGACUACUAAUGGAAUUGUUUUAGCAAAGAAGAUCCCGAAGUUAAAAGAGUGUGGACUCGGUGUGAUAAAUAUCAGCCUAGAUACAUUAGUUCCAGCAAAGUUUGAAUUGUUGACAAGGCGUAAAGGACAUGAAAGAGUCAUGGAGUCCAUCACUGCUGCGGUGGAGUAUGGAUUUAAUCCUGUUAAAGUCAAUUGCGUUGUAAUGAGGGGAAUAAAUGAUGAUGAGAUUUGCGACUUUGUGGAAUUGACUCGUGAAAAGCCAAUUAAUGUGAGAUUUAUAGAAUUUAUGCCAUUCGAUGGAAAUGUGUGGAAUAUUAAAAAGUUAGUUCCUUAUGCUGAGAUAUUGGAUAAAGUGAAACAACGAUUUGAAGGUGUGAAAAGGCUUACAGAUCAUCCUUCUGAUACAGCCAAGAACUUCAUGAUAGAUGGUCAUCAUGGAACAAUCUCAUUUAUCACAUCAAUGACUGACCAUUUCUGUGCUGGUUGCAACAGAUUGAGGCUAUUGGCUGAUGGAAACUUGAAAGUGUGCCUCUUCGGUCCAUCUGAGGUCAGCUUAAGAGAUCCACUUCGUGCUGGUGUUGAUGAUCUUGGACUAAAGGAGAUAAUUGGAGCUGCGGUGAAGAAAAAGAAAGCUGCACAUGCUGGAAUGCUUGACCUUGCAAAGACAGCAAAUAGACCUAUGAUACAUAUUGGUGGCUGAGGUCAUUUUUUGCUUUCAAUGGCUGAACAACUCUCUUCAUUCUUGCUUCAGAUGCUCAGAAGACAAUGUUUCGUCAAAGAUCUGCUGUCUGCGGAGGCACUGGCAAAGGAUUUCUUCUCCAAUCGCUUAACCAGUGCUUGAGGAACAUAGUUAACAAUUGUGAAUAUUUGUUUUGUUCGCUGGCCUACAAAAGAAAAAAGCUAUGUUUUACUUUGUAGCAGAUACAUUGAAGAAAUAAAUCACUUGAAAGACAAUGACUUUGUACCCUCUGAUUACUACAAGCACAUUUGUGAAUGCGGCUAAUUCAAAGAGAAUCAAAUUUGAAUUAUUUUUGUGCU